AACGAACGCUGGCGGCGUGCCUAACACAUGCAAGUCGAGCGAGAAAAGGACCUUCGGGUCCCUAGUAAAGCGGCGAACGGGUGAGUAACACGUGAGCAACGUGCCUAGGAGUGGGGGAUAACUACCCGAAAGGGUGGCUAAUACCGCAUAAGACCACAACUGCUUCGGCAGAAGGGGUCAAAGACUUCGGUCGCUCCUAGAUCGGCUCGCGGACCAUUAGGUAGUUGGUGAGGUAACGGCUCACCAAGCCCGAGAUGGUUAGCUGGUCUGAGAGGAUGAUCAGCCACACUGGGACUGAGACACGGCCCAGACUCCUACGGGAGGCAGCAGUGGGGAAUCUUGCGCAAUGGAGGAAACUCUGACGCAGCAACGCCGCGUGUGUGAUGAAGGCUUUCGGGUCGUAAAGCACUGUCAGGAGGGAAGAAUUUUGACGGUACCUCCAAAGGAAGCACCGGCUAACUCCG
rnacentral:rRNA from 1 species